rnacentral:rRNA from 1 species
GAGUUUGAUCGUGGCUCAGGAUGAACGCUGGCGGCGUGCCUAACACAUGCAGGUCGAACGGAGUUUAUGAGGAAGAAGCUUCGGCGGAAUUCUUAUAAACUUAGUGGCGGACGGGUGAGUAACACGUGGAGAACCUGCCUCUUACCGGGGGACAGCAGUUGGAAACGACUGAUAAUACCGCAUAAGCGCACGAGACCGCAUGGUCCUGUGUGAAAAGAUUAUCGGUAAGAGAUGGCUCCGCGUCUGAUUAGCCAGUUGGCGGGGUAAC